rnacentral:rRNA from 1 species
UUGUCGUCAGCUCGUGUCGUGAGAUGUUGGUUAGUCCGCAACGAGCGCAACCCCUAUUGUUAGUUGCCAUCAUUCAGUUGGGCACUCUAGCGAGACUGCCGGUAAUAAACCGGAGGAAGGUGGGGAUGACGUCAAAUCAUCAUGCCCCUUAUGACCUGGGCUACACACGUGCUACAAUGGUUGGUACAACGAGUUGCGAGUCGGUGACGGCGAGCUAAUCUCUUAAAGCCAAUCUCAGUUCGGAUUGUAGGCUGCAACUCGCCUACAUGAAGUCGGAAUCGCUAGUAAUCGCGGAUCAGCACGCCGCGGUGAAUACGUUCCCGGGCCUU